CCAGGCUAUAUUUCACUUAUAAACCCUGACAUACUGGUUGUACUCCUUCACUACACAAUUCUAUUUCUUGUCAGUUUAUGAAGUGAUGAAAAAUGCAUCAAUGUACAUCACGUUUGGGGGUAUAUACUGGUACCAUACUAAACAGAAUUGCCUUGGGUCCUGUAUGGCAACCACUCAGGCAGACAACUGGUCCAUGCCCACCUCUUCAAAGUAUCCAUCUACUGCAGCCAGGUUAUAUGAGGGUGUCUCCUUAGUGUUGUCCUGCUACAUACUGGAUCAUGCAAAGAAAUGCCACAGGGCCAAAAUUUCAAAACUGAUGCUCCCUCAGAAUGCAAGAAAUACUUAGUAUCUUAUACAAAGUCAUUCCAGCAGUACCCAAGGAUCCCCUGAACAGCCCUGGCACCAAAGAUAUUCAGUCGUUGUCUUAGGACACUGGUUAGCAUCCAAGACUCACGACCAUACUGAAAGACAGGAAGCACCAUGACCUUAACAAGACUUGAACUUUUGUCCUAAGACAUUGGCAUCGCUAAACACUAUCACUGACUGCAUGCUCCAAAAUCUCCUCCCAGGUCUCUUGAGCUCAAAGACCCAGAGACAUGAAUGUCACUGCUGAAAUAAGUGAUUGUCUCUUCAAGUUAAACACUUUAACUACAUACAGACACAUCUGAUGGCCAAAUCCAGGAAGUCAAAGCCUGGAUCUUAGUCUUAAUCCAGGACAAUCACAAAUGCAGACUCAAAUUCCUCACUUCUCAAGUGCUGCAAUCAUAGUAUCCAUUUAUUCCACAAAGAUCACAUCCAGUAUUGUUUGAAGUCAAAGUAAGUAGACCUUUCCUCAUCAAGAAAAGCACCCAAGUCAUUGGCGUCUACAAACCCUACCCAACAUCCAGUUUGCAAAAACACUGAACAGUGCAGUACCCAGAACACGUUCCCACUGAACACUAGUCUUAACUGGGAAAACUCAGUCUGCCUCUGAGUGCAGCACUCACAGUAGUGUAAUAAGCUGGCUAUGAUGUCCAGCAACAUCUAGGGGAUCCCACAAGUUCCCAGGAUGUUCCAGAGAGUAGUCCAACUGAUUACCAAAUGAAACACUUUGCAAAAAUCAACAUAGGCUGCAAAGAAGCACUGCCAAUAUGCACACUUGCCUUCUAAGAAUACUCGCAGAGCUAGAAUGCAGUCGAUGGUUGACUUCUUGGACAUGAAGCCAGACUGUUUCAGUCGCUGAGCAACAAGUAGCGGAACUGAAUCCUAUUAAGAAUAAUCCUUGUAAGCACCUUCCACGGCACUACAGUGAUGACCACAGUGCCUGAACUGCAUGUACCUUUCCAACAGAGAGAGCACUGUAAUACCCCUGUAGUUGUUGCAAUCCAUGUAAUCAUCCUUUCCUAUCCAGACUAGGAAAACAAGUCUUUUCUUCCAGAACAUACAGAUGAUACCCAUUUCAUAGAUUGUACAGUUGAGCCCAGUUAACCUCGCGCACGCAAGUCGCAAAUCAGCUUUACUCGCAGUCAAGUUGUGGACCCCAAAAAUUUAGACUACAAUGUGUGAUUUGGACCGUUUUUGCGAGGGAUCAUCAGUGCAGAUGAUUCUGGAUGACGAUUUCUUCUCCAGCUGCUGCAGGUCAGUAAUGAGGGCCAAUUCUGUGUGGAAGAGUCCUGACUAUUCUAAGUUUUUGGAUACGACUCUUUGGAUCCUUACUGCCAAUUCAGAUCGAGCUGGAAUUUAUACACGCAGCCGCCACACGUGCAAACUUCGAAUCGUCAGGAAUCUUCCGCACUGUCUGAAGCCCUAAUCGCUGACGUGCAGCAACCAGAGGAGGGAAAACAAAAUAUUCUGAACCCACUCCAGAUGAUGAAAUGGUAGUCCAGAAUCGUCCACAUUGACAAAGCCCUCAUCGCUGACCUGCAGGAGGAAGAAAAGGAUCCCGAACCCAUUCCAGAUGAAGAAAUCAUCACCAUCCAAGAAGGAGUCAUGCUUCAAAUGGUCAAAACUAUUAUAAUAUGGAAAGGUAAGCUGAUUAUAAGUUUUUUUUUUUUUUUGGUCAACUUGUGGUUUCAAGUAACUCGCGGUCCGAUUUUGUGGACCCCAACUUGUGCAAGUUAACGGGGCUUAACUGCCACUUCGUAAUGCCAGGGGAACAGCUCCAGGCACCUGGAAGAGAAUCCUGCUAUGACUUUAAGACAUCUACCUGGCAAUGGAGCUGUCUUAACAUCACAGCAGAGGGAUCAAAAGUAGCUGGCCCAAUGUGACAGUACAGCAGAGACAUCUAUCAGAACUUUACUGUCUUCCACCAUAACUACAGUGGGAUGAGGUGUAAGUGUUGAGGAACAAAGUGCUUUGAUUUCCCUGCAAGCAGGUUGAGGGACACUACACUACAGAUGGCGAGUUAUGAAACACCUCCAAUCGACGCUUGUGACUCCAAUACAAUCAGCAAAUUUCAAAGUGGAUACAGAGAAACUCACAUAAUCCAUUCAAAUCAGGAGUUGUGUCCAUGUCUGCAACUUCUCCAGACUGAUUACGCAAAAAUUCAUGAGAAACAGCCUGAGCUUGACGUCUUGCUAGAUCACCCAAUUUAAUGUUGGGCACAGAACAGGGUAGUCUGCAAGACUUUAACUGAAUCCUCAAGGAAAAUGCACAAGUCUGUGGCCAGAAUUCACAAACCGGAUACUUAGACCCUGCAGUUCUGCAGAAUUCUUUCCCACUUUCCCACAAGAACAUGGUCAGUCUCUUGGCAAUACUGUCAGUAUUAAAAUACCAUGUCCAGCGUGGUACAUUUAGACAAUGAAACCAGAAUCCAGCAACUCGGUGCUCCCGACCUGUUGCAAAGUGAAGGAGCAUUCAGUCAUUUCACCAUUUCACUUUUCAAUCAGCAAGUGAAGCUGUCAAUAAAAGGGUUUCUUCAGAGACAUCACUCACUGCAGACUGUGCUCCCAGGCACAAACAUCCAGUGCAUAUUAAAUCUGAGCCUCUUAAUACACUCACUGACUGGUACUAUAUCAAACACCACUGGAAAGAGCAGUAAAAGAUGGUCAUACUCAGAUUAUAAGCCUGUUCCAGGUGCCCACCGACAUGAGUGGCCUCAGGUUUGGACCUAGAUGCAGCUAUGCUAGCUAUGCUUACCCUAGGGCAAAAAAAAACAAAACGAAAAAAACCCCAACAAAACAAAACAAAACAGGGAAAGUAUUCAAACAGCCUGAGUGCACCAGCACAUUAAGGUGUGCUACCAUAACCCGAGCAAUCUAACAACAGGCAACAAACAGUGAACUGACAAAUGCUUCAAAUCAUCAAAUUCCAACUGUGGUGUUGCAAAUUAGAAACAAAAGUUAAAUACUGAAAACAUGAGAGGAACACAGUAAUAUAUUUAAACAUUUCAAAAAUAUAGUGAUCAGUUAUGAUUUCGUAAUAAAAAAAGUUACAGUCUACAUUUGUACCAUAAAAAACAAAACAAAAACAAACAAAAAGCCAAGACUUUGGAAAACACAAAAGGCAAAGCACUUAUUUGAACAUCUUGCUGCAAGUUGGGAUGGACUGUUACAAAUCCAUAGAUGCCCACAGCGUUCUUCAGCCAGUCAGGCUGCUCCACUGUGGCAGCUCAGUCACAGCUUUGCACAUCACCAAGAGUGCCAAUUACUACAAUGCUUUUAAAGUGAACAGCUGAGGAGACGCAUUUUUCAAACUAUCACCAUGCAUUUUGUCUCAACAUUUAAAUACAAAAUCUAAAUGUAACUCGGUUAGCCUAAAAUUUGCCUUCAUUGCUAUGACUUUCUGCCUUCUCUGUGCAUUUAGAAUACAUUUUAACGUUGUUCAUAUAAUGUUCCUUUUUGCUUGCAGUUUUAAUAGUCUUGCAGACCUAGCUGUAGACAGCGUACAUCCACAUGCAAAAAAAUCACUGUGGGCUGUGCACAUAAAUAAGAAGUUGACCUAUAUGAGCAAUACAAACAAAAAUAACAAUGAGGUGUGAAUGUUCUAUUUAAAAAAA